GUCAUGGAAGCAGGGCAACUCCAGCAGGAGUAGGCUCCUCUGAAACACUUGCUUAACAGACUUUCAGCUAUGGCACUGAAAUGGUACUUAUUGCAGGCCUCAGACACAUUAUGGAAGCUGAUCUUCUGGUUUCAGACAACAAUAUUGUUAAUGUCUCAGCAGCAAGACUCAUUUUAAAGACUUUUGUGCAAAGCUCAGAAGCUCCAAACUGAGGCUCUCAAUCAUGAAUCACUAAUUUUACCAACUUUUAGCUCAUGUGUAAUCAGAAGGUAUUCCUGAUCAAUAAAGAUGUGGAUAAUGUAUAAUUUAGAUAA